rnacentral:rRNA from 1 species
UUNAAGACUUCGGUCGCUAAGAGAGCAGCCCGCCCCCGAUUAGCUUGUUGGUAGGGUAACGGCCUACCAAUGCUCCGAUCGGUAGGUGGCCUGAGAGGGUGGUCACUCACACUGGGACUGAGAUACGGCCCAGACUCCUACGGGGGGCAGCAGUCUAGAAGCUUCCACAAUGGACGAAAGUCUGAUGGAGCGACGCCGCGUGUGGGAUGACAGCCGUGAGGUUGUAAACCACUGUCAGCAGGGAAGAAUGCCUUGAUGGUGAAUCAGGGAGAGACGGUACCUGCAGAGGAAGCCCCGGCUAACUCCGUGCCAGCAGCCGCGGUAAUACGGAGGGGGCAAACGUUGUUCGGAUUUACUGGGCGUAAAGGGUGUCUAGGCGGUUCGAUUAGUCUGGUGUGAAAUAUCCUCGCUCAACGAGGAAGACGCAUUGGAAACUGUCGAGCUCGAGAGUGGAAGGGGCAGGUGGAAUUCCUGGUGUAGCGGUGGAAUGCGUAGAUAUCAGGAAGAACACUCGUGGCGAAGGCGGCCUGCUGGUCCAUUUCUGACGCUGAAGCACGAAAGCCAGGGGAGCGAACGGGAUUAGAUACCCCGGUAGUCCUGGCCGUUAACGUUGAACACUUGGAUGUCGGGGGUAUCGACCCCCUCGGUGUCGGAGCUAACGCGUUAAGUGUUCCGCCUGGGGAGU